rnacentral:lncRNA from 1 species
UCCUUUCAAUAAAAUGCCCCUUCAUACAACAAGAAUACAUAACUAGAGGUCGACGUACUUCAAACUAUCUGGACAUCCUGCAAAAAUCUUUAGUUCUCUUGUAAACCAGCAUGUUGCUCUUCGCCUUUUACAGAUACCUGAAACACUUUCUUUACUGCAUUCCAAUGAGCGUUUCCAACAUUGGACCGGAAUUUACUUAACACACUGAUGACAAAUGCCAAGUCUGGCCUAUUACAAACUCGUGCAUACAUAAGACUCCCAAAAAUUAUCAAAUAAGAAAAUUCUUUCUGUAAGUAUCAUUCAGUGGUCAAGGGAUAAAACUUUAUGCAUAAAGUGUGAUGUUAGCAACUGUAAUACCACUAAUUAUGUCCUACAUUCACAAGAAACCUUUAAAGAAAUUAACAAACCACAUUAAUUCCCAUUUAAAAGCAUGAAAUUCUCUAUUGUUUCAAUGUUGAAACCCUGAAGAGAAUCUUGAACCAAUUCAGUUAGCCAAACAUUCCGAAUGGUUUCCAAAAUUAAAGUUUCUUAUUAAAAUUUCUUUAUCCUUCAAAUCCUUUAAGCAAACCAGAAACAAUCCUUAUGGCAUUAGAAGAAUUGUAAGUUAUAUAUAUAAGAUACCAAAAAAAUAAGAAACCGAGCUCCCAUAUCAUAGCCUUAAUAGUAAUAUAACUUUUUCUUCUUUAUCUUUUCUUUUACAAGCAUAAAAUCAUGUCUGAAAGCUUAGUAACGAUCACAACCUUAGAACAUCCAAAUUAACUUUAAUUUUUAAUACCUUCAAGUUCCUUUAUGAAAACUAGACAUACUUGUUCUAUAUGUUCAUACAAAAAAAUAAUCUUAACCAUAUUAAUACUGUUAAAUAUACCAAAACCAAAAUACAACUGCAAUUAACCUUAGGCUAUGGCUUCACUUUGAAUUUCUUAAUUUGAUGCAUACUUUAAAUUUCAACUAAAUAGCUAGAAAACCAAAACAAAACAGUGGAAAACUGUUGUAAAAUAAAACUUCACGAGCAUGCGAAAUGUGCUGUAAUUAACCUUCUGGUGAGUAAAACUUUAUGAUCAUACAGACUAGGGCAGUGGCUCAACUUGAAAAACUUUUGGUGAAUGAAACUUAAUGAGCUUGUAAAAUAUGGCAGUGAGUAUGAAGUCCAAAAACUAUACAUCAUUUCUCCCACUUGGACAAAACACUCACUACUUGGUUACUCUUGAACUGAAUACACCAAAGCCUUAUAACUUUAAAACAUAAUAGUUAUUAAUUAGUAUACGUUGAUAAGAUAAUAUCAUACGACUUUUAAGAUGUACUGCUUUAAAUAAUUCACACAAUUUCUUUAUUAGUUUGACUAACCUCAAAUUACUUAGAAUCAAACUAGAGACAUAAAGCUUCACAUAACAGAAAUUUAGAGUCUUUUUAUGUCUAUUUAAUGGUCUAAAAUGACCUACAAACUUAACUUUAUAAAACCUGCCAGCACAAAACUUUUCCAGAACAAAGGUUACUUAAAAAUUUGCCAAAAUUAAAAUCCAUAUUCAAUAACCACGAAAAUUUGCAGUCUAUGAGAAGACACAUAUACGUUCAUCAUGCAAAAGCUACGGGUCAUUUGAAAAGCUUCAGAUGAGUCAUUCAUUAAUCUUUACUCAUAGUCCAGAAUCUGUCAGGAAAAUUUAUGUGCAUCUGUAUCAACUUUAUAAAUCCACCAAAAAUUCAAUACUUAACAAAUUUACAUGAAAUCAGUGUCUAAAGAAAACUUAGAAAGGUAAUUUUAUUAUGAACUAAUUCGACACAAGAGAUAUCCAAACAGACAUCAUAUCUUGAGAUUUCAAAACUGAAACUGAACCAAAAUUAUGAGAACUGACUUGUACCUUGAGUGCUUUUGAAAUACUUAUGUGUCCAAACUGUAUGUACUCUAUACCACUUGAAAACUAAACCAAAUAAGUCAGUGUUCUUUAAACAAAAAACAAUAUGAUAUUCUUGAAACAAACUGCAGAGGAUUUAAAUGAAUAGAGUUCUUAAAAACUGAUGUUCUUUAACAAGGUUAAAGCUCAAGUUUCUUUUAGGCUAUCAUUUAAAACAUCUUUAUUCCCACAACUGUAUGUAUGCUAUAUUCUCACUUUUGAGGAGAAUACAACCUGUUUAUAAAAACUAGAUCACAAGACUAAACCACAACAUGUCUUAUCUUGUGCCAUUAUGAAUUGAACCAUACUAGUCCUCAUUUGAGAGGAAAACUUCAUAAUGCCAUUUUGAUCAUUUAGCCUUGAAUAUCUAAGAUGUUGUAUUCAAAGAAGUGCUUUGGCAAUUCAACCAAUAAAAAAUCUUUCUUUAAACAUGAUCACUGAAACUUUAGUUAAAUCUGUAGGGAAAUUUAACUUUGAUAGCAUCUCAUAUUUUAUUUUCUUUAGUGACGAAAUUAUCUUUCUUACCAUAUGAAAAUAAAUUCUGUAACAAGUGCUCUUGCUACAACACCCAAAAAAACAAAGCUAUAUGCUACUUCAAUCUUUAGAAUCAGGCCAAUUCAUUUAUACACCCUGUUAGACAGCUUUAGUUCUCCUUAUUUCUAUUCCUGAUAGUUUUUCUGAAAUCAAUUAUUUUAGAUGCACAGCCCUAACAGUUUAAGACUUUUCCUUGUAUGUUUUUCUGGUUGUAUACUAUAUAUUCCUUUUACUAGAGUUGCAUUAAAGCAUAUCAGAAUUUCCAGAUUCAUUAAAACCAAAACUUAAUUAUCAAAGCUUGUAAUUCAAUGUAUACAUAACAAAUUCAUAAGUAAAAAAUUAAAGCAGAAAGUGCACCUAGCAGAUCAAUUAUGUUUAGUCAUAAGAAGAUAAUCCAACAAAAUGAAAAGAACGUGAAACCUGGGAGUAAUAGGCUCCUUUAGAUAUGCUCGUAUGCUUGAUAAUGGGCUUAAAGAACAAAAGAACAGAACCAGACCCACCCUGGCACCCAGAUUGGCCUAGCGCCGCCUAGACCCGCCUAGCGCCGCCUAGACCCGCCUAGACCGCCUAGACCGCCUAGCGCCGCCUAAACCCGCCUAGACCCGCCUAGCGACUCCUAGACCAGCCUGGACCAGCCUAGCGCCGCUCAGACUCGCCCAGCGCCGCCCAGACACGCUUAGCGCCGCCAGACCCGCCCAGGCCGAUUUUUCGUAACGCAGACUAUGGAUUUUUCGUAAUCUAGAAGCCUCUGCUUUUCAUCUUCGACGAGUAUAUACACAUGCAAUGAGAGAGAGAGAGAGAGAGAGAGAGAGAGAGAGAGAGAAUUAAUAUAUGUUUGCAG